rnacentral:lncRNA from 1 species
AAAAUAACGAAAUAUCACUAGUUCUGGACAGCUUAAAAGCAACUGAGAAUGAAAUUGAUUUUCUGAAAGAUCAUGGAUCAAAUAAUCAGCUAUUUAUAACCUUGCACCAACAAGUAACAAAUGUACAAAACAACGAAGCAAAAGUUCUACAGAAAAUAUCCAAUGCACAUGAAUCGAAAUAACCUUUGAUGAAAAGAAAAUUAAACAGAUUGAUUCAUUCAAACCGCUGUCAGAGACUGUUAACCCUUGACAGGUGCAAUACGUU